CUUGACCGACCCCAGCCACAGCGGCCGGUCGGCGGGUCGGCCCGGCCCGUACGCGGCGAUCAGCGCCUGCGCCUC
rfam:Micromonospora nigra strain DSM 43818 genome assembly, contig: Ga0070616_13